UACGUAGGGGGCAAGCGUUGUCCGGAAUUAUUGGGCGUAAAGCGCUCGUAGGCGGUUUGUCGCGUCGGAUGUGAAAACCCGGGGCUCAACCCCGGGCCUGCAUUCGAUACGGGCAGACUAGAGUUCGGUAGGGGAGACUGGAAUUCCUGGUGUAGCGGUGAAAUGCGCAGAUAUCAGGAGGAACACCGGUGGCGAAGGCGGGACUCUGGGCCGAUACUGACGCUGAGGAGCGAAAGCGUGGGGAGCAAACAGG
rnacentral:rRNA from 1 species